UGUCGACGGCUAUUGAAAGAAGGACUCUGGCAAUUUCUUUUGUUCUGUCCAACCCACCGCAAUUUCUUUGUUCUGCCCAAGCCACCGCUGCCGGUAAAGCUAUGGAUUGUUGCUGGGAUUUUCUACUUAUGCUAAUGCUUCUUCUUCAUUUUGCUCUCCUUCAUAAAGAUUGGUCAGAUUUUUGUUAGGGCUAAGUGGUGGAGGCAGUUUAGUACGGGAUGGACAUGGUCGAUUCAUCUUCGGGUACUCAUGCUUCUUUGGCAAUUUGACAAGCUUGGAGCAGGAUGGGAUGAAUAUUGUGAUUACUAACGAACAUCACAUGCUACUGCUUCGACAUAUUGGGAAUUUAUUCUUUGAUGUUAUUAAUUUUUGUGAAUUGCAACAACAAGUUAAUCUCAGCUGGACAGUCCCCCUAACAAACCUUCAUCUUCAGCAAGAUUCUCGUGCCGAUCUACCAAUUCAUGAAGAAAUAGUGACAUCUUCACUUCAACCUCAUUUCUCACAAGACUCGUCCACUUCAGUAUGCUUCUAUCAAAGCUUUCACUCAGCCGACCCGUAUACAUUGGUAAAAAAUCCUUAUCGUAUCUUCCCUUAUCAUAUUUUCCUUAAAAUUAUUCCCUACCUAACUUAUUUCCUUCAACUCAGCUCCCUAACUUUUACUUUUUGAAUCAGAAAAUCCCACGAUUUGUUGACUACUUUCUCAAUGAACAAAAAACUCCAUUUAUAGCUCUCAAAACUGGAGAUAACAUAACAGAAAUUGGAAUGAAAGGCAAGCGGCUAAAAAAAAAUUGGAAAGCUUCCAUUCUUCAACAUCAACUCCAACACAAUGACGUCCUUAUUUUCAUUCCAAAAUCGAAGACCGUCUUUACUGUUUUAAUAUUUGACAGCAAUGGAGAUGAAAAAAAUUUCCCUUGAUACCCUGUAUUUCAUAUCCAUUACUAUAAUUAGCCAGUU